rnacentral:rRNA from 1 species
ACCCGCCGAACUUAAGCAUAUCAGUAAGCGGAGGAAAAGAAACUAACUAGGAUUCCCCGAGUAACGGCGAGUGAAAGGGGAGAAGCCCAGCGCCGAAGCCCGCGGCCUCUGGUCGCAGUGCAAUGUGGCGUUUCGGCGGCGCCUCGCCGCAGGUCGUUCUGGCGCGCGUACCUCUGAACGGGUCUGCCCGCAGCGGGUGUCAGGCCUCUAGUCGCCACACGGACGGCCUCGGCCCGGCGUCGCCGCGGAGUCGGGUUGCUUGAGAGUGCAGCCCAAAGUGGGUGGUAAGCUCCAUCUAAGGCUAAAUACCUAGUGCGAGACCGAUAGCAAACAAGUACCGUGAGGGAAAGUUGCAAAGAACUUUGAAAAGAGAGUUCAAGAGUACGUGAAACCGCUCAGAGGCAAACGGACGGAACUGGGCGAGUUCGGCGUCGUCGUUCAGCGCGCGCUCACGGCCAGCGGCCGGGGCGCGCGUGCACUCGGCGGCGCCGGAGCGCGGCGACCGCCUGCGCGGCCUUCGGAAGCGCCUCGGCAAGGUGGCCGCGGGCUCGUGCCCGCGGUGUUACAGGCCGGGGUGGCGUCGUUGGCUUCGUGGGCGAGGAGCGCCCGCGGCGCACUCACGGCCAUCGCGGCCGAGCGGGUCGCGGUCGGGGGCUGGUCGGCCGCGUCGGCAAGCUGUCUCGCAGCUUGUUGGCGCGCGCCCGUCCUGUCGCCUGGCCCGGUCCCGCGCGUUGCGCCCGGGGUCCUGGCCGCGUGGUUCCCGGCACUCCGUCCGACCCGUCUUGAAACACGGACCAAGGAGUUGAGCGCGCGCGCGAGUCGAUGGGCCUACCGAACCCCAGUGGCGCAGCUAAGGCAAAACGGGUGUGAUCCGUCACCAGCGUGGCGGCGCAACACCGGCCCGCGGCGUGCUCGUUGCGAGCGGCCGCGGCGCAAGAGCGCGUGCGCUCAGACCCGAAAGGUGGUGAACUAUGCUUGAGCAGGGCGAAGCCAGAGGAAACUCUGGUGGAGGCUCGCAGCGAUCCUGACGUGCAAAUCGGUCGUCAAACUUGAGCAUAGGGGCGAAAGACUAAUCGAACCACCUAGUAGCUGGUUCCCUCCGAAGUUUCCCUCAGGAUAGCUGGCGCUCGCUUUGACUGGUUUCAUCCGGUAAAGCGAAUGAUUAGAGGCAUUGGGGACGAAACGUCCUCAACCUAUUCUCAAACUUUAAAUGGGUGAGAAGCGUCGCCCUUCCCGAGCGGGGCGACGUGCGCGAACAGUCGAGUGCCCAGUGGGCCGUUUUUGGUAAGCAGAACUGGCGCUGUGGGAUGAACCAAACGCGCGGUUAGGGUGCCGAACGAACGCUCAUGAGAUACCACAAAAGGUGUUGGUUGAUAUAGACAGCAGGACGGUGGCCAUGGAAGUCGGAAUCCGCUAAGGAGUGUGUAACAACUCACCUGCCGAAUCAACUAGCCCUGAAAAUGGAUGGCGCUGGAGCGUUCGACCCAUACCGCGCCGUCGGGGCAACGCGUGCGAAAUGCCAGGCCCCGACGAGUAGGAGGGCGUGUCGGUGGCGUUGAAGCGUAGUGCGCGAGCACGCGUGGAGCCGCCUUCAGUGCAGAUCUUGGUGGUAGUAGCAAGUAUACAAAUGAGAACUUUGUAGACCGAAGUGGAGAAGGGUUCCAUGUGAACAGCAGUUGGACAUGGUUAAGUCGGCCCUGAGAGAUCGGAGAGCUCCGUUCUGAACGGGGAGCCGGCUGCCGUGAGCGAGCGAGCCGUGUGCCGUCGCGCCCGCCGACGACGACGCGGGGUCCGCGCGCGUCUGAACCGCCUUCGCCAGCCUAGACCGUCCGAAACCCCAAACAGCAGUCAAAUAAUAUUACACAGUUGUAAUAACACUGCGGUAGCGGAGGGCUGAGCGAUGACAGAGCGCGCGCGGGUGCCUUCCCCGCGCCACGUCCCACACGGCGAGAGCGCGUGCUGGCGCGCGUGCGAGCGAGCGAUCGGCGGACGCGCGUCGCCCUGUACCGAUCGAAAGGGAAUCGGGUUAAUAUUCCCGAACCUGACGGUGGAGAUCGGGCCCUCGGGCCCCAGUGCGGUAACGCGACCGAACACGGAGACGCCAGCGUCGAUCCCGGGAAGAGUUCUCUUUUCUUUGUUAGGAGCGGACUCCCUGGAAUUGGCUUGUCCAGAGAUAGGGACGUUGCAUCCGUAAAGCGUCGCGCCUCACGCGGCGUCCGGUGCAUCGGCGUUGGCCCUUGAAAAUCCGUGGGAGGCAGUGUAAUUUUCACGUCAGGCCGUACCGGAAUCCGCAGCAGGUCUCCAAGGUGAACAGCCUCUGGUCGAUAGAACAAUGUAGGUAAGGGAAGUCGGCAAAUCCGAUCCGUAACUUCGGGAUAAGGAUUGGCUCUGAGGUGCGGGCUGCUUCGGGUCGCGGCAAGAAGCGAACGGCGUGCCGGCAGGGCUGCGCGGGCCCCUCGCGGGACCGUUCGGACCGACGCCGCGCGCGCUCUCGUGGGCG